UGGGGAAUAUUGCACAAUGGGCGCAAGCCUGAUGCAGCCAUGCCGCGUGUAUGAAGAAGGCCUUCGGGUUGUAAAGUACUUUCAGCGGGGAGGAAGGGAGUAAAGUUAAUACCUUUGCUCAUUGACGUUACCCGCAGAAGAAGCACCGGCUAACUCCGUGCCAGCAGCCGCGGUAAUACGGAGGGUGCAAGCGUUAAUCGGAAUUACUGGGCGUAAAGCGCACGCAGGCGGUUUGUUAAGUCAGAUGUGAAAUCCCCGGGCUCAACCUGGGAACUGCAUCUGAUACUGGCAAGCUGGAGUCUCGUAGAGGGGGGUAGAAUGCCAGGUGUAGCGGUGAAAUGCGUAGAGAUCUGGAGGAAUACCGGUGGCGAAGGCGGCCCCCUGGACGAAGACUGACGCUCAGGUGCGAAAGCGGGGGGAGCAAACAGG
rnacentral:rRNA from 1 species